rnacentral:rRNA from 1 species
UACGUAGGGGGCAAGCGUUGUCCGGAGUACUGGCGUAAGCGCACGCAGGCGGUCUUUAAGUUUGGAGUGACAGUUGGUGGCUUAACUGCCAAAGUGCUUCGAAAACUGAAAGACUUGAGGGCUUCAGAGGGACACGGAAUUCCGGGUGUAGCGGUGGAAUGCGUAGAGAUCCGGAAGAACACCGGUGGCGAAGGCGGCCUGCUGGGCAGUUGCUGACACUGAGGCGCGACGAGCGUGGGGAGCAAACAGG